rnacentral:lncRNA from 1 species
CGUCAUUCUGAAAAUGCGCGAACAGAGUAAUAUCCUCCUCUCUGCUCCUUAAUGCGCCCUGGUCGUUAUAAGUGUUGCACUAGUUUAAAAGUUUAAUGUUAUUAAUAAUUGAUUACAACAAACAGUAAUUGUCACUGAGCUCAUUUUAUUUACAGGCAUUUUUAACAUGUAUGAACAUAACGCUAACUUGGAACAAUACUACAUGGAUAUUUAUUUGGUAGCAAUAAAGUAAAUAAGAAUAACAAAUAAACAAGAAUAUUUAAAAUACACAGUAUGUAAAGAUGAAAAAACAAUAUUUACAGUUGUUCACACAGGGUUAACCAGAGUGACCUGUUCCUGGACCAUUUCUUGUACAACUGUAAUAGAUUACAGAUAGAAGUCUCUGGUACUGUUGCUGAAUCUGCCUGAGCAAGAUCAGACAUGGAUGGGGUGCUGCAACUGAGACCUGCGGUUUGUCUUUUCUGGUGAGCGAGUGAAGAAUCACACACACUGUCCACGGCAUCGUCCAUCCACAGGGCUUGCAGGGCUGGCUCACUCAACGGCUGCAAGCAGAUGCAUGGAAGAGCCAGUGUUGGUGAAAGCACUUUGGAAGCAUGAACCUGUUAAACUGCAAAACUCCUCAAGUAAGAAAAUGUAGCGAAUGAGAAACAUUUCACAUUUUUCUCCAUGUCCACUUUUAUAUUUGUGUUCUAUAUGAUCACUUGGGGAGUAACUUUACAGCAACACUGCAGAAAUGACUGACCAGAGAAAAAAAGCCUGAACUGCAUAACUCUGCAUUAGAUCCCAGAUGUUUUUUGAUCUUCAGUUUUUCACUGUGAACACUUAGUGACUGUCAAUGAAGUGACUGCUCAUUAUUGGCAGAUUUUCUAUCAUUAAAAUGAACUGAAAUCCCAGACUUGAGUGUUGAAAUAAAGUAAAUAAGUCACAAUGAAACACUGGAAAUGAGGUGACUGAUUAAAAUCUUUAGCGCUGAUUCAUUUAUUGUAAAGAGACGUGAAAUGCUCAGUGUUCCCUCUCUGCUCCAUAACGUUGUGAGACCUACACUGAUGUUGAAAUAGCUGUCGUCUCAGUGUUCAGCACUAACCUGUCAUAAUCUAAAUUGCGUUUAAGUAACAGAAGUAAUAGCAGUACAACACAUUUAACAACAGGAGGCGUCAUCGUGACACCAACCUGAGACAACAGCAAUAAUGGAAAAGACAUAAUUUUUUGGAGAAGUCAGAGAGUUAAUUUUCUUCUAAUUUCUCGUGUAAUUGUAAGUAAGAUUUGACAAAACAAG